UUAAAUUGAAGAGUUUGAUCAUGGCUCAGAUUGAACGCUGGCGGCAGGCCUAACACAUGCAAGUCGAACGGUAACAGAAAGCAGCUUGCUGCUUUGCUGACGAGUGGCGGACGGGUGAGUAAUGUCUGGGAAACUGCCUGAUGGAGGGGGAUAACUACUGGAAACGGUAGCUAAUACCGCAUAAUGUCGCAAGACCAAAGAGGGGGACCUUCGGGCCUCUUGCCAUCGGAUGUGCCCAGAUGGGAUUAGCUAGUAGGUGGGGUAACGGCUCACCUAGGCGACGAUCCCUAGCUGGUCUGAGAGGAUGACCAGCCACACUGGAACUGAGACACGGUCCAGACUCCUACGGGAGGCAGCAGUGGGGAAUAUUGCACAAUGGGCGCAAGCCUGAUGCAGCCAUGCCGCGUGUAUGAAGAAGGCCUUCGGGUUGUAAAGUACUUUCAGCGGGGAGGAAGGGAGUAAAGUUAAUACCUUUGCUCAUUGACGUUACCCGCAGAAGAAGCACCGGCUAACUCCGUGCCAGCAGCCGCGGUAAUACGGAGGGUGCAAGCGUUAAUCGGAAUUACUGGGCGUAAAGCGCACGCAGGCGGUUUGUUAAGUCAGAUGUGAAAUCCCCGGGCUCAACCUGGGAACUGCAUCUGAUACUGGCAAGCUUGAGUCUCGUAGAGGGGGGUAGAAUUCCAGGUGUAGCGGUGAAAUGCGUAGAGAUCUGGAGGAAUACCGGUGGCGAAGGCGGCCCCCUGGACGAAGACUGACGCUCAGGUGCGAAAGCGUGGGGAGCAAACAGGAUUAGAUACCCUGGUAGUCCACGCCGUAAACGAUGUCGACUUGGAGGUUGUGCCCUUGAGGCGUGGCUUCCGGAGCUAACGCGUUAAGUCGACCGCCUGGGGAGUACGGCCGCAAGGUUAAAACUCAAAUGAAUUGACGGGGGCCCGCACAAGCGGUGGAGCAUGUGGUUUAAUUCGAUGCAACGCGAAGAACCUUACCUGGUCUUGACAUUCACAGAACUUUCCAGAGAUGGAUUGGUGCCUUCGGGAACUGUGAGACAGGUGCUGCAUGGCUGUCGUCAGCUCGUGUUGUGAAAUGUUGGGUUAAGUCCCGCAACGAGCGCAACCCUUAUCCUUUGUUGCCAGCGGUCCGGCCGGGAACUCAAAGGAGACUGCCAGUGAUAAACUGGAGGAAGGUGGGGAUGACGUCAAGUCAUCAUGGCCCUUACGACCAGGGCUACACACGUGCUACAAUGGCGCAUACAAAGAGAAGCGACCUCGCGAGAGCAAGCGGACCUCAUAAAGUGCGUCGUAGUCCGGAUUGGAGUCUGCAACUCGACUCCAUGAAGUCGGAAUCGCUAGUAAUCGUGGAUCAGAAUGCCACGGUGAAUACGUUCCCGGGCCUUGUACACACCGCCCGUCACACCAUGGGAGUGGGUUGCAAAAGAAGUAGGUAGCUUAACCUUCGGGAGGGCGCUUACCACUUUGUGAUUCAUGACUGGGGUGAAGUCGUAACAAGGUAACCGUAGGGGAACCUGCGGUUGGAUCACCUCCUUACCUUAAAGAAGC
rnacentral:rRNA from 1 species